rnacentral:rRNA from 1 species
CUGUUGUUAAGGAACUCGGCAAAAUGACCCCGUAACUUAGGGAUAAGGGGUGCCACCAUCAGGUGGCCGCAGAGAAUAGGCCCAAGCGACUGUUUACCAAAAACAUAGGUUUCUGCUAAGUCGCAAGACGAUGUAUAGGAGCUGACGCCUGCCCGGUGCUGGAAGGUUAAGGGGAUCUGUUAGAGUAAUCGAAGCAGUGAACUUAAGCCCCAGUAAACGGCGGCCGUAACUAUAACGGUCCUAAGGUAGCGAAAUUCCUUGUCGGGUAAGUUCCGACCCGCACGAA